AACGAACGCUGGCGGCAUGCCUAACACAUGCAAGUCGAACGAUUGCCUUCGGGUGAUAGUGGCGCACGGGUGCGUAACGCGUGGGAAUCUGCCCUUAGGUUCGGAAUAACAGCUGGAAACGGCUGCUAAUACCGGAUGAUAUCGCGAGAUCAAAGAUUUAUCGCCUGAGGAUGAGCCCGCGUUGGAUUAGGUAGUUGGUGGGGUAAAGGCCUACCAAGCCGACGAUCCAUAGCUGGUCUGAGAGGAUGAUCAGCCACACUGGGACUGAGACACGGCCCAGACUCCUACGGGAGGCAGCAGUGGGGAAUAUUAGACAAUGGGCGCAAGCCUGAUCUAGCAAUGCCGCGUGAGUGAUGAAGGCCUUAGGGUUGUAAAGCUCUUUCACCCGGGAAGAUAAUGACGGUACCGGGAGAAUAAGCCCCGGCUAACUCCGUG
rnacentral:rRNA from 1 species